UACGUAGGGGGCAAGCGUUGUCCGGAUUUAUUGGGCGUAAAGAGCGUGUAGGCGGCCUGGAAGGUCAGCUGUGAAAACUCGAGGCUCAACCUCGAGACGUCGGUUGAAACCAUCUGGCUAGAGUCCGGAAGAGGGAAGCGGAAUUUCCGGUGUAGCGGUGAAAUGCGUAGAUAUCGGAAGAAACACCAGUGGCGAAAGCGGCUUCCUGGUCCAGCACCGACGUUCAGGCACGAAAGCGUGGGGAGCAAACAGG
rnacentral:rRNA from 1 species